UGACGGCAGGGUUGAACUCCAUCAACCUCAGCCAAUGAACUAAAUAAUUCGGAACUAGCAAACACUUUCCUACGACCCCCUAGCCUUGACUCCGUAUCGUCCUCCUCUCACACCAUUCUUUUACCAAGCUCAGGUAACAUGGCACCACUCCCAUUAUGGACCUUGGCAUGCACGGUGCUUACUUUAGAAUUACCACCACCAAACGGAUUCACCCUUCUAUGUUUCUUCCUCCUUCCCUUCUGUACCUGCUCAAUAAUAGGCAUUAAGUUAAAAGGGUCCGAACCCAAAAAAUAAAUCAUGACAUUGAAUAUAUAUAUUUUCUCAAUAUGCAUAACCUAUAUAAUAUACAUUUGAUUGUCUGAAAUAAGCUGUAAAAUAAAUAUAAUAAGUUACAAACCCAAUGGGCGUAGGCCGAAUAUACAGAAUGAAGAUCCUCCGCGGAUCCUCUUUGUGAGGAUCCCAGAGAUCCUCCAAUCACGUCUUUUCAUCAUAUAUUGUGCAGUCAAUUUUCGUCAAGUACUGUUUAUAUUCAAUUCUAAAUAAAUAAAAAAUUUACAAUGAUUUCUUAUCGCAUGAUAUACGAUGAACGGACGUGAUUGAAGAAGCCUCUGGAUCCUCACAAAGAGGGUCAGAAGAGGAUCCUCAUUUGAAUAUACAAACUCGAAGAAGUCAAACUUAAUUAAUGCAUUUGCUUAGUUGGAGCCUAGUCAUUAGUGUUUUGUUAGGCAAAUAUAUUAUGCGAGUUUUUUUUUUUCCAACAAACAGUAUUAUCUAUAUUAAGAAGUGAGGGAGUGGGCUAAACCUUACAAUAUGCUAGCAAUACUGUGGGCCUUUGGUGAGAAUCGAACCUAAGACUUCUCACUUACAAGUGAAGAGGAAUACCACUACUGUCUCUCUCACUUACAAAUGAAGAGAAAUAUCACUAGACUAUAGUACUAAAUUGCUAUUUUAUGCAAGUUUUAGGCUAACAAAAUUAAGUUUCAAGGGGUAGAAUUAUUUCUAGUAGAAAGUAUAAGGACUCUUUUGGAAGUGUUUUUAAAUGACUGGAAAUGCUUUUAGAGAAAAUGUUUUAGUUCCCAAAAACACUUGAAGUGCUUUCUGCAAGAAGCACCAGUUACGUGUUUUCUGCAAGAUGCACCAGUUACGUGCUUCUUGCAGGAAGCAUUUCAAGUGAUUUUCCAUGAUUAUUUGCAUUUUAAUAUGGAUUGAUUCCAAAAGUACUCUCAUCAAAAGCGCUUUUAGUUAUUUAAAAACACUUUUAAAUAAUACCUAAAGAUAUAAGGAAAUUGAAUUUGGGUGUAAUGAGUAAGACACAAUGUUAUUAAAAAGGUUUGUUAGAUAUGCAUGCUAUGCUUGCGACGCACACUAUUCCCGUUGAUAUAGGAGAAAUUUUUCAUUGUGACCGGAACACGGAAGAGGGUAUACCACGUGUUUUUAUAUAUGUGGUGAGAAAUUUUAUUUUUUAAGUUAUUAACUUUUUAACACACGUAUCCCACCAUUUGUAUAGUGAUACGUAGGGCUGGUUAGGUAUGGGAUACCAAACCGAAACCCUUGUCCCAAUUCCCAAACAAAAGUUUUCGAGAAUCCCAAUUUCAAGACUGAUCUCAAACUAAAUUUUCGAGAAUCUCGAAAUAGUUUCGGGAUUUUGGGACAAAUCAGGAAUCCCGAAAUAAAAUUCACACAAAAUUACAGGUAGACUACUACAAUUGUAUCUGAUACGCAUCUGCAGAACUUAAGACACACAAAUUCCCAAUCCAAUUCAAUAUGCAAAAACUAAUUGCAUCUCCAGAAUUCAAUCAUCUCAAAAGAAACUAAAGCAUGAAACUUGCAACCAUCACACAACAAAUCAUCAUAAAACAUUGCAACCAACGAAGAUGCUAACUUCUUUGAGAAUAAAAAUAUAGACCAUCCUAACAUCCAUGUAAAUGAAAUUAAGCCACAAACCACGUAAUUUCACAUCAGUUUCUCUGAAAAAAACAUCCACUAAAAUAUGUUCAUCACAAGAAAGUUGUAGUUCAAUUGGCUUCAUCACAACUACCAUUUCUUAUACAAAAUACCCUAAAAACAGAGUACAAAAACAGUAAUUCCCUUGAGCAGCAAUCCAAACUGAACAAAUUGAUGCCCCAAGACCAUCUUUAAGAAUUAAAAUUACCAAGUAAGUAAUUAACAACUGUUUCUUCAUAUACCCAAUUAAGUAAUUAGCAAGUAAUUGAACCCAAGUCACAAGCAAACCAGGGACUUCCUAGGAAUACGAGCUGGGAUUCCCAGAGGUUAACUAAAGAAUCAAGCAGGUAUAUAGCAAAUGAAAGGAUAAUCUGGAAAUAUGUACUCUAAACUGCUAGUGCAGACCAAGUCACAAACGGGAAGUGAUUGCUAUAAUGUAAAGUGAAGACACAGCUGAUGCAAACUACCGAAUGGAAACCCUGUCUUUAUGGCACUUUAUUAGCUCCUUAAACUUUAUUUUGGAUGUCCUCAACCUAAUACAACCAGUCUUUCAUUAAUUCAGAAUCACAAAAUUAAGCAAAAAAUCAAACUAAAAAAGAGGUUUUUGAAAGACAUACGUGAAAAAACCUGGUCUUUAUGUUCUUGAUCAAAGUGGUGGCCAUCAAAAAUUAAAGUCAAUCGAAAUUGCGAACUUGAAUUUAUGCUAACGAGACCCUAGAAUCUCAUUCCUACUCUUCCCAAUAAUUUCGUCUCAAGAAUCUCAAUAUUCAAACAAAAUGCUUUAAGUGCUAAAUUUCACAAAUCCUAAUCUAGAUUUCACAAACCCUAAUCUAAAUUUCACAAACCCUAAAUUAAUUCCAAAUUACCUGAUUUGGGGGAGAAUCGGUGCACAGUACUAGAAUCUGGAUGAAAAAGUCGAGAGAGAGAUAAAAAAAGGUGAGCAGCGCUAGUUUAUAUAGCUCUACCUCUGUGUCGUGAAGGAAGGGUCAUCCAUAAUGAAGCUCUGAGGGAUGAUAAGUUGAGAGAGAGAUCAAAAGGUCUAAGGGUGUGGCCGGAUUUGUUGUGCUAGGAUAGCACCAAAC
rnacentral:lncRNA from 1 species